rnacentral:rRNA from 1 species
UACGUAGGGUGCGAGCGUUGUCCGGAAUUAUUGGGCGUAAAGAGCUUGUAGGCGGUUUGUCGCGUCUGCUGUGAAAUUUCGGGGCUCAACCCCGAACUUGCAGUGGGUACGGGCAGACUAGAGUGUGGUAGGGGAGACUGGAAUUCCUGGUGUAGCGGUGAAAUGCGCAGAUAUCAGGAGGAACACCGGUGGCGAAGGCGGGUCUCUGGGCCAUAACUGACACUGAGGGACGAAAGCUAGGGGAGCGAAAGGG